rnacentral:rRNA from 1 species
AGGACGAACGCUGGCGGCGUGCUUAACACAUGCAAGUCGAGCGGUAAGGCCUUUCGGGGUACACGAGCGGCGAACGGGUGAGUAACACGUGGGCGACCUGCCCUCAGCUCUGGGAUAAGCCCGGGAAACUGGGUCUAAUACCGGAUAUGACCACAUGUCGCAUGGUGUGUGGUGGAAAGUCUCGGGUUUAAUUAUCUGGGCUCGGCUGGGGAUGGGCCCGCGGCCUAGUCAGCUUGUUGGUGGGGUGAUGGCCUACCGAAGGCGACGACGGGUA